rnacentral:rRNA from 1 species
GACGAACGCUGGCGGCGUGCUUAACACAUGCAAGUCGAACGGAAAGGCCCUGCUUGCAGGGUACUCGAGUGGCGAACGGGUGAGUAACACGUGGGUGAUCUGCCCUGCACUUCGGGAUAAGCUUGGGAAACUGGGUCUAAUACCGGAUAGGAGCCAUCUUUAGUGUGGUGGUUGGAAAGUUUUUUCGGUGUAGGAUGAGCUCGCGGCCUAUCAGCUUGUUGGUGGGGUAAUGGCCUACCAAGGCGGCGACGGGUAGCCGGCCUGAGAGGGUGUACGGCCACAUUGGGACUGAGAGACGGCCCAGACUCCUACGGGAGGGAGAAGUGGGGAAUAUUGCACAAAGGGCGCAAGCCUGAUGCAGCGACGCCGCGUGGGGGAUGAAGGCCUUCGGGUUGUAAACUCCUUUCGCUAGGGACGAAGCUUUGUUGUGACGGUACCUAGAUAAGAAGCACCGGCUAACUACGUG